AGAGUUUGAUCAUGGCUCAGGACGAACGCUGGCGGCGUGCUUAACACAUGCAAGUCGAGCGGUAAGGCUCCUUCGGGGGUACACGAGCGGCGAACGGGUGAGUAACACGUGAGUAAUCUGCCCCUGGCUCUGGGAUAAGCACUCGAAAGGGUGUCUAAUACCGGAUAUGACAGGCUCCUGCAUGGGGGUUUGUGGAAAGUUUUUUCGGCUGGGGAUGUGCUCGCGGCCUAUCAGCUUGUUGGUGGGGUAAUGGCCUACCAAGGCUUUGACGGGUAGCCGGCCUGAGAGGGUGACCGGUCACACUGGGACUGAGACACGGCCCAGACUCCUACGGGAGGCAGCAGUGGGGAAUACUGGACAAUGGGCGGAAGCCUGAUCCAGCAACGCCGCGUGAGGGGAUGACGGCCUUCGGGGUUGUAAACCUCUUUCAGUACCGACGAAGCUUCCUCUUUUGGGGUGGUGACGGUAGGUACAGAAGAAGCACCGGCCAACUACGUGCCAGCAGCCGCGGUAAUACGUAGGGUGCGAGCGUUGUCCGGAAUUAUUGGGCGUAAAGGGCUCGUAGGCGGUUUGUCGCGUCGGGAGUGAAAACAUCGGGCUUAACUCGAUGCUUGCUUUCGAUACGGGCAGACUUGAGGUAUGCAGGGGAGAAUGGAAUUCCUGGUAGCGGUGAAAUGCGCAGAUAUCAGGAGGAACACCGGUGGCGAAGGCGGUUCUCUGGGCAUUACCUGACGCUGAGGAGCGAAAGUGUGGGGAGCGAACAGGAUUAGAUACCCUAGUAGUCC
rnacentral:rRNA from 1 species